AGUCCCUCGAUUCUACGAGUUUCUGAUUCCCUGCAAUCGUCUCCGUCCGAAGCUCAUAGAAUCCAUGGCCUCCCACGCCGCCGCCGACGACCAAACCCUCAGGGCCGAUAAUUUCGUCAAGGCCGUCACCGUUAGGGUUCCGUCGACGCCGCGGAAGCUCCGCGACGACCACGGCGACGACGGUGACUCCACUUGUUGCUCGGCGCGGAGUAGUCGGGCCGAGCUGGCAGCCAAUUUCAAGCGCAGCGUGGCGCCGGCGCGGGUCAUGUUCUACGAGAGCGGGUCCUGGACCAACUUCCCGGGCCGGGUCGUCGAAUUGCUCCGGUCGGGUUUCUUUGAGCGCAAGGCGGUGCUCCACUUGGAAAUCGAGGGGUCAACGUACCUGUUUGACUUCGCGCGCAUGCUGCAGAUUGAUUCCGGCACAGGGAGUCAGCGAUCGAUUGCGUGGAUUGACGACAACGGGAAAUGCUUUUUUCCGAGGCGGUUUAUCAGCGACGAGCUGGGCUGUGGCGGGUCGGACAGUCCGAAGAUCGAAAUUGAGAUCCGGGUCGACGUUUCGGGUCGGAGUUCGGGUAAGAGAAAAAGAGAUGAUGAGGUAGGAGAAGAAGAGAACGAAGUGACGUCGUUUAAGCGGCAGGCUCAGCCUCAGACAAACCCAAAGCCUCAGAGCUCUUCGGAAACUUGGCCGAAUGUGAAAUUGUUGAGAGAGGGAGAGAGAGCUUACACGGCGGUGAGCAAUUUCUUUCUCAAAGGGAUCAGAAGAAUCGAUCCUGCGGCUACGAUCAGUGCCAUUCGUCAGUGUGUUCGCUCUGGGCCGUUGGAUAAGGCUCGCUUGGAGGUCUUUCAGAAGCAAAUUGAAAUCACCAAGGCAGCUCGGGGGUCGGCCAAUGUGGUCCACGCUUGGUACGGCGCGUCGUCUAGAGAUAUACAGGGGAUUUUGACUCAUGGGUUUGGCUUGCCCAGCAAGGUUUCUGGGUCUCAUGGUGUUGGUCUCUACCUAUCUCAUUUAUCUUUACCUUUUAGUAGUGGGCUCUUACAGCCCGAUGAUAAUGGCGAAAAACAUGUUCUUUUGUGCCGAGUUAUAUUAGGCAAUGUUGAGAAAGUUGAGGCAGGGUCUCAGCAAUGCUACCCUUCUAGUAUGGAAUUCGAUACUGGUGUAGAUGAUCCUAGGACUCCUACGCGGUAUGUGGUAUGGCCCACUAAUAUGAAUAGGCACGUUCUGCCGGAGUGUGUUGUGAGCUAUAAACCUUCUGAUCAUGUGCCGGGUUCUCUGCCUAGAAAGUACCAUGUUGCGGAAUUGAUUUCGAGGGUCAGGAAUUCCCUACCCCCUUCAAAAGUUCAGCAAUUGUCGAAUCUGGUACAUGGUUUAAAGGCUGGGAAGUUAGCAAGAAAUGAUUUCUGCAGACAGUUUCGAUUAGUUGUUGGGGAGCAGUUGCUGCGUUCUGCAAUUCCUGAGAUGCGUGGCUCGGAACAAGACAUAGGGGACUUGUGUUCAUACAGUUGCUGGGUAACCCUUCUACAAAUAUAUAGCAUACUGUACCAUGUCAGUGCCAGCUGCUAUGGAUAUACAUUGAAGUUCUCAUGUGCAGGAUACGAUUAUUGAAGAUUUUUGUGAUGGCAUGUCCUCUUCAGUAUGAGUACACUCUUUCAUCAGGAAGUACUUAUUUUGCAGUUGUUGUUGUAGGAUGGUGGUGAAAAUUGACUGCUCAUAAAAGGAAACCAAAUGGGCAGGGUGCCUGGUUUGCAGUACUUAAAUGCUUUGGUUUUAUAUCGCUGAAUACAUUGGAAGCCAUUAGACAACGUAUGGCUCUGUCAGAGAUGAGGUAUGAUGUUACAUCAGUUCUCUAACAUUGAAACUAUUCUUGGUGGAGCACUUUGCAGUUGCUGAGCAUAAAUGGUGUAAAAUCUCGGGGUCUGUUUAGCCAUCAUUGAAGGUUUAUCGCUUUUGAGCUUGUAAGUCGAGGAUAAGGUCAUUGUGAAGUUCAUGAACUUUUGUGGACUGGAUAUUUUGAAGGAUUCUUAUGGAAUGUAGGAGCAUACUUCAUCUGAAUUUGGAUUUGGAUUAAAACAUGGUAAUAAAUGUCAUUUUUUUUAUUCCUUCUGAUGAUUGUACUAUUUUCCAUCACUUCCAUGCAGUGCUGUGAGUCCCUGACUGCUAUCAGAUGAGGGUAACAGAGUUAUGUUAGAUAGAGAUAGAGGGACUACUCUGAGUAACCUUGAAUAAGAACUGUCAAAUACUUGUUGGUGAGCUCUGGACCUAAUGACUGGAAUAUGACUAGUUUUCUUAUGCAACA